AUCGCUUUACUAAGCUUCUUCUCUUUGCCAAUUUGGAGCCAUUUUUGAAGCUUCCAGUAAGUUUUUGGGAGAAUAUGCCUAUACAAUGUUGCUUCCUCAGCAUCAGCAAAGGUUUUUUCAUAUGACAAAUGUGGCAAAUCGUUGUGCAGUGAAGCCGGAUCGUGGCCUAAAAUCAAGAUGCAAGUGCAAUCAAAGGUAAAACGUUGAAAUAAUUCUUGCAUAUCCACUUCAUUCCUCACAUUUGCCACAUUCUCCAGAAUUGGGACGAGCCCUUCUUCCACCUUGUUUCGGCUAGUUGUAGCGACAAACUUUUGGAACCCCUGUUGAUUGAUUAAUGACAUAAUGGUUCUCCUAUAGUUUUCCCACGAUUCUGAUUCGGCGUUGAAUAUCCCAUCACCUAAAUUGUCGAAUAUCUUCUUAAAUUCAGGAGCUUUUGUGAAGUUUUGAAAGUUUUUGCUCAAUACGUAACGAACAUUAGCUGGAUCACAAGUCACCAACAUGUCCAUGUUGCCAAACCGUGGGCCUUUAAACCAAACAGUGGUGGAGCUCUCAGGAAGCUCGGUGAUACAGUCGU
rnacentral:lncRNA from 1 species